GGGGGGCGGGGAGAGACACGGUGGGAAGAAAUAAUGUUCCCAACAGAAAAUUUAUUACUUGGAUCAAGGUAUCGUACAUUUCUAGAGCCGAAGAAGACUUUUUUAUUCCUCGAGCCCAAUUGCUAUAAAAUAAAUACAUACCCAGGCAGUCUGCAGUUUUUUUUUUUAAAUACCAUAUAAGAACCAGCAAUAGGACGUGUUGGACUAUAUAUAAUAGGAUUAUAGUAUUGAUUGCAAUGAUAUGUCGCCCGUAGUUUGGUAAAUGAUUUUUCAAAGUUUGUGGAAAAAGAAAGAUUUAAAGAAUAUAUAGUUGGCUUUGCAUCAGAACCCAUCUUUCCUCCCUCAAGUUAAGCCAGCAUAUAUAUAUACAUGUAUAUAA
rnacentral:lncRNA from 1 species